AGAGUUUGAUCAUGGCUCAGAUUGAACGCUGGCGGCAGGCCUAACACAUGCAAGUCGAACGGUAGCACAGAGAGCUUGCUCUCGGGUGACGAGUGGCGGACGGGUGAGUAAUGUCUGGGAAACUGCCUGAUGGAGGGGGAUAACUACUGGAAACGGUAGCUAAUACCGCAUAACGUCGCAAGACCAAAGAGGGGGACCUUCGGGCCUCUUGCCAUCAGAUGUGCCCAGAUGGGAUUAGCUAGUAGGUGGGGUAACGGCUCACCUAGGCGACGAUCCCUAGCUGGUCUGAGAGGAUGACCAGCCACACUGGAACUGAGACACGGUCCAGACUCCUACGGGAGGCAGCAGUGGGGAAUAUUGCACAAUGGGCGCAAGCCUGAUGCAGCCAUGCCGCGUGUAUGAAGAAGGCCUUCGGGUUGUAAAGUACUUUCAGCGGGGAGGAAGGUGUUGUGGUUAAUAACCACAGCAAUUGACGUUACCCGCAGAAGAAGCACCGGCUAACUCCGUGCCAGCAGCCGCGGUAAUACGGAGGGUGCAAGCGUUAAUCGGAAUUACUGGGCGUAAAGCGCACGCAGGCGGUCUGUCAAGUCGGAUGUGAAAUCCCCGGGCUCAACCUGGGAACUGCAUUCGAAACUGGCAGGCUAGAGUCUUGUAGAGGGGGGUAGAAUUCCAGGUGUAGCGGUGAAAUGCGUAGAGAUCUGGAGGAAUACCGGUGGCGAAGGCGGCCCCCUGGACAAAGACUGACGCUCAGGUGCGAAAGCGUGGGGAGCAAACAGGAUUAGAUACCCUGGUAGUCCACGCCGUAAACGAUGUCGAUUUGGAGGUUGUGCCCUUGAGGCGUGGCUUCCGGAGCUAACGCGUUAAAUCGACCGCCUGGGGAGUACGGCCGCAAGGUUAAAACUCAAAUGAAUUGACGGGGGCCCGCACAAGCGGUGGAGCAUGUGGUUUAAUUCGAUGCAACGCGAAGAACCUUACCUGGUCUUGACAUCCACAGAACUUUCCAGAGAUGGAUUGGUGCCUUCGGGAACUGUGAGACAGGUGCUGCAUGGCUGUCGUCAGCUCGUGUUGUGAAAUGUUGGGUUAAGUCCCGCAACGAGCGCAACCCUUAUCCUUUGUUGCCAGCGGUUAGGCCGGGAACUCAAAGGAGACUGCCAGUGAUAAACUGGAGGAAGGUGGGGAUGACGUCAAGUCAUCAUGGCCCUUACGACCAGGGCUACACACGUGCUACAAUGGCGCAUACAAAGAGAAGCGACCUCGCGAGAGCAAGCGGACCUCAUAAAGUGCGUCGUAGUCCGGAUUGGAGUCUGCAACUCGACUCCAUGAAGUCGGAAUCGCUAGUAAUCGUAGAUCAGAAUGCUACGGUGAAUACGUUCCCGGGCCUUGUACACACCGCCCGUCACACCAUGGGAGUGGGUUGCAAAAGAAGUAGGUAGCUUAACCUUCGGGAGGGCGCUUACCACUUUGUGAUUCAUGACUGGGGUGAAGUCGUAACAAGGUAACCGUAGGGGAACCUGCGGUUGGAUCACCUCCUU
rnacentral:rRNA from 1 species